GAUGAACGCUGGCGGCGUGCCUAAUACAUGCAAGUCGAGCGAACAGAUAAGGAGCUUGCUCCUUUGACGUUAGCGGCGGACGGGUGAGUAACACGUGGGUAACCUACCUAUAAGACUGGGAUAACUUCGGGAAACCGGAGCUAAUACCGGAUAACAUUUGGAACCGCACGGUUCUAAAGUGAAAGAUGGUUUUGCUAUCACUUAUAGAUGGACCCGCGCCGUAUUAGCUAGUUGGUAAGGUAACGGCUUACCAAGGCGACGAUACGUAGCCGACCUGAGAGGGUGAUCGGCCACACUGGAACUGAGACACGGUCCAGACUCCUACGGGAGGCAGCAGUAGGGAAUCUUCCGCAAUGGGCGAAAGCCUGACGGAGCAACGCCGCGUGAGUGAUGAAGGGUUUCGGCUCGUAAAACUCUGUUAUUAGGGAAGAACAAACGUGUAAGUAACUGUGCACGUCUUGACGGUACCUAAUCAGAAAGCCACGGCUAACUACGUG
rnacentral:rRNA from 1 species